CUCCCUGUUUUUCAUGCUUCUUUGCCUUUCUCAGUUCUGGAUUGUUGUUCGACUUCUAUUGAUUGGAUUUAUCUUGGACAGAUUGGAUUCCUCAGCCACCUUUUAUCAUCCUGUAUUCACCUGCCUGUUCCAUUCAUAUGUGCUUUCAGGAAAGAUGCUGUAUAAAAGAAGAGGAAUAUGAAAGGCAGAGGAGGAGAGAUUUUGCAACCGACUGGAGAGAGUCCAAAACCUCUCUAAAGCCGCCUGCCUCACAUGCAGAGAUGACUGUUGGGGUGUUUGGGAAACAGCUAACUGGUGACGGAUUAAGAGAUUUUAGAAGUAAUCUUCCAAAGAGGAAGCGCCCCUAGUCAUGGAUAUGCUGUCAUCACUGUUAUUAAUAAAGACAUAUGGGAUUAAAUCAGCAAAAGUUCAGCUGUGUUUUACAAUACAAAGCAAGCGGUUGUUCAAACGCUACCCCCGCCUU